AUUAAAAUGUGUAGAUGUGCUGCUUUGCUAAUUGAGUAGUUGGGAAGAUGUGAAAAGAACAUGCUCUCUAGGUGUGUGAUUAUUCCUGUGAGCACAAAUGUAUUUAAAUGUUUAUUUUGUGCUUCAGCUUAUGCUUUUGGGCAGUACAAAUACAUCUUCAAAAAUAAGUACAAAUGCGGUCUUAUAGAACUCUAAUUGUUGUUGGAUGCUAUUCCAAAUGCCAAUGAUCAUGCAAAACGGUUAUUGCUAGAAUCUAGAUGAUAUGUAAUGUAGUUACCAUAGUUUCACCCUAUUUUUAUGGUUCUAAUUAUUGUUGCAUAAGUCUUUAAAAGAAAUGUUCACUAAAUGUUUGUGAUCAUUGCUUGUAGGUAUUCGUAUGAACAUUAAAAUAAUGGCUUUUCUUGUAGGAGGUUCAAAGAUUAUCGUGGAGCAAGUUCAAGAGAUCAGUUUGGUGAAAAUAAUGUGAUCUUUUGGUCAGGAUUUUGCAUGAUCCAUAGCCAUCAGGCGAGCAGUUCAAGGCCUACUACGCGAGUCGUCCAUCGUCUUCUACGCUUGAUGAGCUUGUUGUCUCUACACAUCUAGCAUCAAAGUAUCUCCUCCCCUUGCCGCACACACAUGCCCGCGGUUGAGCUAGUGUUGUUUGUGAUUGCUGGUCGUGACUCUUACGUUGUCAUUGGACAAAUAAUUUGUUCUGUAACUCUG
rnacentral:lncRNA from 1 species